rnacentral:rRNA from 1 species
GUGGGGAAUAUUGGGCAAUGGGGGAAACCCUGACCCAGCAACGCCGCGUGAAGGAAGAAGGCUUUCGGGUUGUAAACUUCUUUUAUGAGGGACGAAGAAGUGACGGUACCUCAUGAAUAAGCCACGGCUAACUACGUGCCAGCAGCCGCGGUAAUACGUAGGUGGCAAGCGUUGUCCGGAUUUACUGGGUGUAAAGGGCGCGUAGGCGGGAUAGCAAGUCAGGUGUGAAAUCCGGGGGCUCAACCCUCGGACUGCACUUGAAACUGUUAUUCUUGAGGGAUGGAGAGGGAGGCGGAAUUCCUAGGGUAGCGGUGAAAUGCGUAGAGAUUAGGAGGAACACCAGUGGCGAAGGCGGCCUGCUGGACAUUAACUGACGCUGAGGCGCGAAAGCGUGGGGAGCAAACAGGAUUAGAAACCCCGGUAGUCC